rnacentral:lncRNA from 1 species
CAAAUGAUUACUAAUGUUCAUAUGUUAACUACAAAAAAAUCAACUUUUUGAAAUUUCAAACAAUAGAAGCAAUAAGUAUAACUGGAGAUGUCGAUACAAAUGUGUGUAUAACGUUAAAUACGAUUAAAUCAGAAACGAUAAUCGAAUACGUGUGUUCUCAAAAAUUUUGAUUGCCAAUUUUUUCUGUUGUAAAUCGCGCAUGGUAAAGAUUUCCACGCCAAUUAAAAGAAGAAUCCAGUUCUAUAACACUAAAUUUUCCAAGAGGUACAGGCCCAGUCCAUUGAAACCAAUUUAUAAGGAAAAUUUUAUAGAAUUUUACUUUUCAUUUUGCAAUGAAAUACAAAAAGUAAUGGAGAAGUCAUAUUUAAGAAUAUCACAACGGGGAAAGUUUUUUACGAGUGAGGUAGCCUGGAGAUUCAGAUACGAAUUCCCCUGAAUCGGAUGUUGAUUCACUCAAUAGCUAGUAAUGAAUUCUGUGACGAUUCCAGACCUCUGGAAAAGAUAUCUUAACAGCAUUUAUUGACUUUUUCGAGUGUGUCAACAAUUACGCCCCAUUCUCACCACAUAUACCGACGGCCAUAUCUAAAAAGAUGCGGUAUACAGACUUCUCAGUACGAGGAAAACUGCAGAUUGCAAGGUUGUGCACUUGCAUCUCAGAAAAUAUCCGGAAGUAGCGAAUUACAGAAGGUAUCUGCAUCAGGGAUGCGGCUCUAUUUUAAACCCUAAAACGCUACGUUGUACAACUAGAAAAUAAUUAUAUUUUGGUGGAGACGAAUAUAUUCAAUUAUCCCUAUACAGGCGGCCCUCGACUUUCGCACAAUUCGCUAUUUCGCACAUUUUUACAAAUUCAACUUUUUAAAUAUUUUUGUUGAUAAUGAAAAAAUUUGCUUCUAUGCAGAAUGUUCAUACACUACAAAGUGCGGUAGCUCACUCUACGUUCUCAGACACACAUUACAGGAAUACCUCGAUUAAUGCAGCUACAUUCAGUGUUGACCCCGCUAUAGUACGGUUAGUAAUUUGAAGAAUAAAUUUCAAUUAGUGUGGAUUGAUUCACUAUUAUGCGGG